rnacentral:rRNA from 1 species
UACGUAGGGUGCGAGUGUUGUCCGGAAUUAUUGGGCGUAAAGAGCUCGUAGGCGGUGUGUCACGUCGGCCGUGAAAACCUGCAGCUUAACUGUGGGCGUGCGGUCGAUACGGGCAUCACUGGAGUUCGGCAGGGGAGACUGGAAUUCCUGGUGUAGCGGUGAAAUGCGCAGAUAUCAGGAGGAACACCGGUGGCGAAAGCGGCUCACUGGAUCUCUUCUGACGCUGAUGCACGAAAGCUAGGGUAGCGAACGGG